GACGGGCGAUGCGAGCGUUGUUCGGAAUCAUUGGGCUUAAAGCGUGUGUAGGCGGCUCGGUAAGUACCUUGUGAAAUCCCACGGCUCAACCGUGGAACUGCUUGGUGUACUGCCGGGCUCGAGGUUGGUAGAGGUGCCUGGAACUCUAGGUGGAGCGGUGAAAUGCGUAGAUAUCUAGAGGAACGCCCGUGGCGAAAGCGGGGCACUGGGCCAAUCCUGACGCUGAGACACGAAAGCGUGGGGAGCAAACGGG
rnacentral:rRNA from 1 species